rnacentral:ncRNA from 1 species
GGACUCUGGAGAAUCCCGUUGAAUCGGGUGCCGAAGGUGUAAGGCGUCAAGGCGCUGAAUCUCUCAGGCAAAAGGACAGAGAAC